CGACCCCAGGUCAGGCGAGAGU
rnacentral:rRNA from 3 species